GGCUAAGCUAUAUACCGAAGCUGCGGACGCACGCAAGUGCGUGGUAGGAGAGCGUUCUGUAAGCCUGUGAAGGUGUCUUGUAAAGGAUGCUGGAGGUAUCAGAAGUGCGAAUGCUGACAUGAGUAGCGAUAAAGGGGGUGAAAGGCCCCCUCGCCGUAAGCCCAAGGUUUCCUACGCAACGUUCAUCGGCGUAGGGUGAGUCGGCCCCUAAGGCGAGGCAGAGAUGCGUAGCUGAUGGGAAGCAGGUUAAUAUUCCUGCACCGUCGUAUGAUGCGAUGGGGGGACGGAUCGCGGAAGGUUGUCCGGGUGUUGGAAGUCCCGGUCCCUGUAGUGGAGAAGGCGCUUAGGCAAAUCCGGGCGCGGAAUUCAAGGCUAUGGGGCGAGCGGCCUAGUGCUGCGAAGCAAUUGGAAGUGGUUCCAAGAAAAGCCUCUAAGCUUCAGUCAUACGAGACCGUACCGCAAACCGACACAGGUGGGCGAGAUGAGUAUUCUAAGGCGCUUGAGAGAACUCGGGAGAAGGAACUCGGCAAAUUGGUACCGUAACUUCGGGAUAAGGUACGCCCUGGUAGCUUGACUGGCCUGCGCCAGAAGGGUGAAGGGGUUGCAAUAAAAUGGUGGCUGCGACUGUUUAAUAAAAACACAGCACUCUGCAAACACGAAAGUGGACGUAUAGGGUGUGACGCCUGCCCGGUGCCGGAAGAUUAAAUGAUGGGGUGCAAGCUCUUGAUUGAAGUCCCGGUAAACGGCGGCCGUAACUAUAACGGUCCUAAGGUAGCGAAAUUCCUUGUCGGGUAAGUUCCGACCUGCACGAAUGGCGUAACGAUGGCCACACUGUCUCCUCCCGAGACUCAGCGAAGUUGAAGUGUUUGUGAUGAUGCAAUCUCCCCGCGGCUAGACGGAAAGACCCCAUGAACCUUUACUGUAGCUUUGCAUUGGACUUUGAACCGAUCUGUGUAGGAUAGGUGGGAGGCUUUGAAGCGUGGACGCUAGUUCACGUGGAGCCGUCCUUGAAAUACCACCCUGGUUUGUUUGAGGUUCUAACCUUGGCCCGUGAAUCCGGGUCGGGGACAGUGCAUGGUAGGCAGUUUGACUGGGGCGGUCUCCUCCCAAAGUGUAACGGAGGAGUUCGAAGGUACGCUUGGUACGGUCGGACAUCGUACCUAAAGUGCAAUGGCAAAAGCGUGCUUAACUGCGAGACCGACAAGUCGAGCAGGUGCGAAAGCAGGACAUAGUGAUCCGGUGGUUCUGAAUGGAAGGGCCAUCGCUCAACGGAUAAAAGGUACUCUGGGGAUAACAGGCUGAUACCGCCCAAGAGUUCAUAUCGACGGCGGUGUUUGGCACCUCGAUGUCGGCUCAUCUCAUCCUGGGGCUGUAGCCGGUCCCAAGGGUAUGGCUGUUCGCCAUUUAAAGAGGUACGUGAGCUGGGUUUAAAACGUCGUGAGACAGUUUGGUCCCUAUCUGCCGUGGGCGUUGGAAUCUUGACGGGGGCUGCUCCUAGUACGAGAGGACCGGAGUGGACGUACCGCUGGUGUACCUGUUGUCUCGCCAGAGGCAUCGCAGGGUAGCUAUGUACGGAAGAGAUAACCGCUGAAAGCAUCUAAGCGGGAAACUCGCCUGAAGAUGAGGAUUCCCUGGAGGCUUGACCUCCUUGAAGGGUCGUUCGAGACCAGGACGUUGAUAGGCUGGGUGUGGAAGCGCAGUAAUGCGUUAAGCUAACCAGUACUAAUUGCCCGUAAGGCUUGAUCCU
rnacentral:rRNA from 1 species